rnacentral:rRNA from 1 species
ACAGAGGGUGCGAGCGUUGUCCGGAAUCACUGGGCGUAAAGGGCGCGUAGGUGGCGACCCAAGUCAAUGGUGAAAGCUCGUCGCUUAACGACGAGUCGGCCACUGAUACUGGGUUGCUCGAGCACUGUAGAGGCUAAUGGAAUUCCGGGUGUAGCGGUGGAAUGCGUAGAGAUCCGGAAGAACACCGGAGGCGAAGGCGGCCUGCUGGGCUCUUGCUGACACUGAGGCGCGACAGCGUGGGGAGCAAACAGGA